rnacentral:rRNA from 1 species
UACGUAGGGCGCAAGCGUUGUCCGGAAUUAUUGGGCGUAAAGAGCUCGUAGGCGGCUUGUCACGUCGGGUGUGAAAGCCCGGGGCUUAACCCCGGGUCUGCAUUCGAUACGGGCAGGCUAGAGUGUGGUAGGGGAGAUCGGAAUUCCUGGUGUAGCGGUGAAAUGCGCAGAUAUCAGGAGGAACACCGGUGGCGAAGGCGGAUCUCUGGGCCAUAACUGACGCUGAGGAGCGAAAGCGUGGGGAGCGAACAGG